AAUUUUGGACAAUGGGGGAAACCCGAUCCAGCCCUCCCGCGUGGGUGAUGAAGGCCUUCUGGUUGUUAAGCACUUUUGACAGGGAAGAAAAAGCACCGGGUAAUAACCAGUGCCUAUGACGGUACCUGUAGAAGAAGCACCGGCCAACUACGCUGCAGCAGCCGCGGUAAUACGUAAGGUGCAAGCGGUAAUGCGAAUUAUUGGGGGUAAAGGGUACGGAGGCGGCUAGGGAAAGUGGAUGUGAAAACCCAGGGGUCCACCUUGGAACUGCAUUGUUAAAGGCCUAGGUAGAGUAUGUCAGGAGGGGGGAGAAUUCCACGUGUAGCAGUGAAAUGCGUAGAUAAGAGGAGGAAUACCAAUGGCGAAGGCAGCCCACUGGGAUAAUACUGACGCUCAGGUACGGAAACAUGGGGAGCAAACA
rnacentral:rRNA from 1 species